AGCGUUGUGAAAAUGAACAUGUUAUUGCCAUUCACUUAAAAUCAAUGAAAAGCACAAAAAAAUUGUAAUUAUAAAUUCUAAAUGAAUGGAAAGAACGUUUUACUUAGCACUUCGCCUAGAAACUGGAAUAGAGGAAUCGCGUUUCUGCUGAUUACAUAUGUAUUGUGUGUAUUCUGACCAUUGAAAUGCAAGCAUCGAUUGGAGAAGCAAAAAUAAGCAAAAUUUCGACGUUCGUUGAUGUCAUGAUCAGCACAAAAUAGCCGCUUCACUUGUGCCUCAAACUACUGAUUCUUCAAAAUCAACAAAAACAUACUGUGGAAGACAAAAAUGAGGACUUGUGCUGAUAAACUCUACAAGUGACGUGUUAAGAAAGCGGAAACGGGCAAGAGCGUAGUAACUAAAAUCUGCCAAAAAUAACGUUCAAUUCUCUAUUAAUCGUCGAAGAAAAGUAACUUCAUAUAAGUUCAGAAUGCAAGAGGAACAUUUUCAGAAAAAUUGAAAUUAUUAAUCGAUAUUCUGAUCGUGUCAACAACG